UACGUAGGGCGCAAGCGUUGUCCGGAAUUAUUGGGCGUAAAGAGCUCGUAGGCGGUCUGUCGCGUCGGCUGUGAAAACCCGAGGCUCAACCUCGGGCCUGCAGUCGAUACGGGCAGACUAGAGUGCUGUAGGGGAGACUGGAAUUCCUGGUGUAGCGGUGAAAUGCGCAGAUAUCAGGAGGAACACCGGUGGCGAAGGCGGGUCUCUGGGCCGUAACUGACGCUGAGGAGCGAAAGCGUGGGGAGCGAACAGG
rnacentral:rRNA from 1 species